UAAUUUGCUGUUUUGGAUUGGG
rnacentral:miRNA from 1 species